rnacentral:rRNA from 1 species
CUUGCGGGGUACUCGAGUGGCGAACGGGUGAGUAACACGUGGGUGAUCUGCCCUGCACUUCGGGAUAAGCUUGGGAAACUGGGUCUAAUACCGGAUAGGAACCAUCUUUAGUGUGGUGGUUGGAAAGUUUUUUCGGUGUAGGAUGAGCUCGCGGCCUAUCAGCUUGUUGGUGGGGUAAUGGCCUACCAAGGCGGCGACGGGUAGCCGGCCUGAGAGGGUGUACGGCCACAUUGGGACUGAGAUACGGCCCAG